CCAGGGUUACGCAAGCGGUAAUUGUGGUGGAGGACCUUAGUUGCCAUCUUCCGAAGUGUGGUAGAAUUAUGCAAUAAAUUGCACAAGGAGUUCUUUGACUCAGUAACGCUCGUUCUAGAUGUGAAGGAAACGUAAAUCGUCGAAAGACAUCUCUGAGGAGCAAAGGAAAGCAGCGCGGUCUCUUUGCGGCCACGUGACUGAGCCGCUGUGGGGUUGAUGUUUCUCGGACAAAAUUUACCAACGCUAACAAAAUGAAAAUGAGACCUACGUGAUUUUUCUGAGAAACGCACCGAUCCAAUAAAUGUUGAUCAUUGAUGAUA